rnacentral:rRNA from 2 species
GUCAUAUGCUUGUCUCAAAGAUUAAGCCAUGCAUGUCUCAGUACAAGCCAAAUUAAGGUGAAACCGCGAAAGGCUCAUUAAAUCAGUUAUGGUUCCUUAGAUCGUACUCACAAUUACUUGGAUAACUGUGGUAAUUCUAGAGCUAAUACAUGCAAACAGAGCUCCGACCGGAGACGGAAGGAGUGCUUUUAUUAGAUCAAAACCAAUCGGUGGCGGGUUCGCGCUCGUUAUCGUACAACUUGGUGACUCUGAAUAACUUUACGCUGAUCGCACGGUCAUCGCACCGGCGACGCAUCUUUCAAAUGUCUGCCUUAUCAACUGUCGAUGGUAGGUUCUGCGCCUACCAUGGUCGUAACGGGUAACGGGGAAUCAGGGUUCGAUUCCGGAGAGGGAGCCUGAGAAACGGCUACCACAUCCAAGGAAGGCAGCAGGCGCGCAAAUUACCCACUCCCGGCACGGGGAGGUAGUGACGAAAAAUAACGAUACGGGACUCAUCCGAGGCCCCGUAAUCGGAAUGAGUACACUCUAAACCCUUUAACGAGGAUCAAUUGGAGGGCAAGUCUGGUGCCAGCAGCCGCGG